rnacentral:rRNA from 1 species
ACAGAGGUGGCGAGCGUUGUUCGGAAUUACUGGGCUUAAAGGGCGCGUAGGCGGUGGCGCAAGUCUGGGGUGGAAUUUCACAGCUCAACUGUGGAAUUGCCUUGGAAACUGCGUUACUUGAGUCGGACAGGGGAAGGCGGAAUUCCUGGUGUAGCGGUGGUAGGGGUCGAGAUAGGGAGGGAGGCGUGGGGUGAUGGCGAGCUAAUGGGUAUGGACCGACGGUAGGGCGGGUGAGUGUGGGGAGGAAAGUG